rnacentral:rRNA from 1 species
GUCUACGGCCAUACCACCCUGAACGCGCCCGAUCUCGUCUGAUCUCUGAAGCUAAGCAGGGUCGGGCCUGGUUAGUACUUGGAUGGGAGACCAAUUUUGAGCUUUUCAUGGCUAACAUUAAUC